GGAGGAGAAAGAGCUUCCUGAGACAGCUCAAGCAGCGGCUUCUGGCAGCUCUGAGGGCGCUCCAGCCUCCAAAACGGCAGCAGCAAAUGAGCAUGGACCACUCGCUGCACCUUCGCCAGCACCGGCAGCAGCUGUUCCUGCAGUCCUGCAGAACGGCGCUGUUGCACUUCCCAAGGAGCAGCCAGCAAAUGGCAGACCCCAUGUUGCAGCGCUCACGGAUGCGCAGCUCUCA
rnacentral:lncRNA from 1 species